rnacentral:rRNA from 1 species
GUUAGGAAUAUUGGACAAUGGGCGAAAGCCUGAUCCAGCCAUGCCGCGUGAACGAUGAAGGCCUUCGGGUUGUAAAGUUCUUUAGCCGAUGAUUAUAAUGACUGUAGUCGGAAAAUAAGCCCCGGCUAACUUCGUGCCAGCAGCCGCGGUAAUACGAAGGGGGCGAGCGUUAUUCGGAAUCACUGGGCGUAAAGCGUGCGUAGGCGGUUUUGUAAGUUAGGAGUGAAAGCCCAGGGCUCAACCUUGGAAUUGCUCUUAAAACUGCAAGGCUCGAAUCUCGGAGAGGAUAGCGGAAUUUCCAGUGUAGCAGUUAAAUGCGUAGAUAUUGGAAGGAACACCAGUGGCGUAAGCGGCUAUCUGGACGAGUAUUGACGCUGAGGCACGAAAGCGUGGGGAUCAAACAGGAUUAGAUACCCGAGUAGUCC